rnacentral:lncRNA from 1 species
AUGGCGGCGAGGGCGGGCGGGGCGGGGAGGAAGCCGCCCGCUUUGAAACUUUCUCUCACGGUCGCGCUGUGGGCCCCGCCGCGGCCAGAAGGGGGGGGGAGGGAGGAGGCGAUCCGAAGGCCUUUUUCUUUAAAGGGUCGGCCUUCGUGGGAGCUGCCACGCGCUAGGCCUCUGCUGGGAAUCUGGCUCGGUUGCUGCACCAGCUUCUGCGAGUGCGCGUGUCGGGACCCGGGCGGCGGGCAGAGCCGGUCCUGGCCUCCCAGGGCAGCCCCUCUGCAUGGCCGUGGCCUCCAGGCAACACCUGCCUCCGCAAGGCGUCAAGGCUGCAGCAAGGAGGCCCAGGCGCAGCCCAGGCGACACCUGCCUCCACAAGGCGUCAAGGCUGCAGCAAGGAGGCCCGCGUGCGCGUGCGCUAGGGACGGCCUUCCCCUCCCUUGCAGGCCUCCUCUGGGGCCGCCGCCGUGCUCCUUUCCUACCAGAUGCAAGUGCUCUUUUCCUACCAGAUGCAAGUGCUCAUUUCCUACCAAAUACAAGUGCUCCGUUCCUACCAGAUGCAAAUGCUCCUUUCCCACCAGAUGCAAGUGCUCCUUUCCCACCAAAUACAAGUGCUCCUUUCCUACCAGAUGCAAGCGCCUUUCCUACCAGAUGCAAGCGCCUUUCCUACCAGAUGCAAGUGCUCCUUUUCCACCAAAUACAAGUGCUCCUUUCCUACCAGAUGCAAGCGCCUUUCCUACCAGAUGCAAGCGCCUUUCCUAUCAGAUGCAAGUGCUCCUUUCCUACCAGAUACAAGUAUCAAAAAGAAUUGGAGUGAUUGAAGUUAUGAUAGACAUUGUUAAGGACCAUGAGAUUACCCCCAGAGAAGCUGACCACCCCACAGUUUCUUCCGUUGGUAUAGUGACCAAAUUCUCCAAACCAAAAAUCAGGACACAUGGCUUGCCGCGUACUCAAGAACAAAGGGACAAACCCCAUGAAGAUAACUUCUGGAUAUUUCUGAUUUCUAAACUUAUGUUAAUGGCCUACUUGUGCUGAGCAAUCCCCUGCAAGGUGGUGGGGAGUAACAACAGAGGAAAACUAGGCCACGAGGAAUUCAGUCUGGCAAGAGUCUAGCGAGCUGGGCAUUGCGUUACAGUGUGGCGUGGCGUGGUGGGGUAGGCCGAGCAAGUGCGGGCCAGGAGCCCCUAUGGCAAUACGGACAGGUUUUCCAGAAAAAGUCACAGCCUAGCAGAUUCUUGAAGGACAGCCAUCCCUGGUGUGUCAUUCCACUUUUCCUCUGGGAAAAUGAUCCAAUCAGAGAAAGACCGGUGGAGGCUCUCAGCAACACCUGGCCUUCGUCCUGCAGAGAUCAUCCAUGAAGCCUCAAGAACUUCGUGUCGGCGGUUCCCAAGCUGUAGUUCAGGGCGGGAGAUCUUCCGCGGGCACUCACAGGUAAAAACGAGACCACUACCACGUAUCUGGGCCAAGAAACCGUCGGUGCCCCCAGCCGAGACGGAGGCGGAUGCAGUCCUGGACUGGAGACGACGCUCAGUAAGCCAGUACUCUUCCGGGACCUCUCUGCACCUGCUCCCCAAAGGGGGCCAUCCCAGUAGAAGCUUCGCUGUUCCUCACGUUUCCACCACGUGGUCACUGCUUCAUUUCCAUGAGGAAUCCCUUCUUUCCAGCUUCACUUAAUCUCAUCACCCUCCACCACUGCCCUCUUCCCGGGCCACCCUGCUCUACCCUCUUGACACCCACCAACCACCAAAUCUGUCCCUCACGUGGCAUUUCAAUUUCCUUGGCACCUCAAACUAAAGUAUUAGCUCAUUCCUUUAUUAUCCUUCGUAGUGAUGUAUUUAAACCCAAACUUAUUGCCCCCAAAUGACUUCAGAUCCCUCCAUUCCUAAAUGUUGUGAAGCUAAAAUGGUUUUACAUGGAAAACAUUUUAAACAAGUCACCGCAUUCAUUCUUUAGAGGUCUUUCAAGGCAUCCUAUCACGUCUCAGUGAAGGUCAUGUAAAGCCUCUCUCACUGGACUCUUAAUUCUAGGAAACAAACUGAGGGUGGCGGCGGGAGGGGAGGUAGGUAGGGGCGAUGGGGUUUUGGGGUGAGGGCCAUGAAGAAGGGCACGUGACGUAAGGAGCCCUGGGUGUUGCGUGCAACUGAGGAAUCCCUAAAUUCCACCCCCGGAAACUAAAAAUACGAUGUAUGUAUGUUAACUAAAUUGAAUUUAAAUUAAAAUUUAAAGAAAAUAAAAAGUAAAAAUAAAACCUCUCUCACUGUACUCCAUUGUCUUACCUCCACUCUGCGUGAACUUCAAUUUAAAAGCUAAACUCCUUCUUCUUCCUAACACUAAACUUGUCCCACCUCCUGUUGGUAGGACUCACUCUUCCUGUCCCAGAACAGUUCCAGGGUGACCUCCUCCAUGGGCCGGCCCUCACAAAUUGAAAUUGGAGUGAAGUCCAAGAGAUUUGCGUUCUAAUCCAGUCCUGCCACCACCCACUGGGAACCAUUAGGCAGGUCACCUCACAUUUCAGGGCUUCAAUUCUCUCACUAGCUAGACAAAAAAAAAAAAAAAAAAAAAAAAAACAGAGUAAUUGAUUUCUGAGGCCUCUUUGAAAUCCAUGUCCUUCUCCAUCUUUCCCACAGAACGGGAGCACGGUCACAUUUUGGUACAAAUACUAUGGAACCAAGAAAGGAAUUUUAAGGAGUGAAAAAUCCAUCCAUCGGCUGGGGACCCGAAUGUUAUCAGUUUAUAGCUCGUUCAGUUGGGUUAAGCCUGGUACUAAUGAGAUCAAGGUCAUGGGUUCCAUUCCCUAACGGCUAGUUAGUUUUGAUCUGCUUCAUAGCCACAAACCGCUUUUCUAACACCAGUCCCCCACGUUAUACUGUGUGCUCCUGGUCACAAGCCUCGAGGUAAAACUGAAUCUUCCCACAGAAAUGUUCUAAACGAACAAUACUUGGGAUCAUCCUUUUAAUGUAUUAUCUUACUUUUAAGUAUGAGUCAAGUUAUUGAUUUUUUUUAGCCUACAUAAUUGUGUGCUCCAUGUUUUUCCAAGUAUGAAAAUGACGUUAACAUUGAUUUGGCCAAGAUUCUUAUUAUUGAUAUUUGUAAGAGCUGAGUUUGAUUUUCUUGUUAGUGUUCUAGAUAACACUGAAAUGUUUAUUAAGUACUCACAUUUGAAUCCUGGUUAUCUUCAUUGUGACACAUCUGCAUACAUUCCUGGCACAGGGCUUGUGAUGGUAAAAUGUCAUUGGAAUGCUAAGGGUGAAAGAGAAAGGGUAUAUUACUCAUCAGGUAAAGCAUUAUAAUGUGUAUCACAUGCUCCACAUCCUAAGGAAAUUAAUAUAGAAAGAGCUUCUGGACAGAUGUGAGUGCUUAUUAUCAUUUUGUUUAGAUACAAAAGUAAAGGUAGAAAUGUGACACACGUAUCCAAAAGAGUAGAAUAAUAUGGGACCGUAAACUCCCUUCUAGGUUUAAAGGAAAAAGAUCAUUUAUAUUUUUGCAUAAUAUACUUACUCAUCUAAAGCCUAAAUCUAAAAGCCUUAUGACUAAACAAUGUUAGAAGGCACAGGCCAGACUUCAGACCACGUUUAUAAGAAUAGUCUUGGAUAUUCUGAGAACCUGGUUCUAGAAUGUUCUUUCCAUUUGACCUGGCCUCCUGACCACAGCUGACUGGUCCAGCAAAGGGCACUUAAUCCCAAGACUGAAUUGAGCAGCAAGGGGUGGCCUGUGAGUCAGCAGGGAGUGCUUUCCCAUAUGAAUAAAAGUGAUGAAAUGGACCAGUCAUAGUCUUAAACUUGGCCAUAUGAACUGGAAAUACUGAA